CAAUAGCGUAUAUUAAAGUUGUUGCAGUUAGAACGCUCGUAGUCGGAUUUCGGGGCGGGCCGGCCGGUCUGCCGAUGGGUACGCACUGGUCGGCGCGUCCUUCCUUCCGGAGACCGUGCCUACUCUUAACUGAGCGGGGGCGGGAGACGGAUCGUUUACUUUGAAAAAAUCAGAGUGUUUCAAGCAGGCAGCUCGCUCUUGCAUGGAUUAGCAUGGGAUAAUGAAAUAGGACUUUGGUGCUAUUUUGUUGGUUUCGAACACCGAAGUAAUGAUUAAAAGGGACAGUCAGGGGCACUCGUAUUCCGCCGAGAGAGGUGAAAUUCUCAGACCAGCGGAAGACGAACUACUGCGAAAGCAUUUGCCAGGGAUGUUUNCACUGA
rnacentral:rRNA from 1 species